GUCUAUGGCCAUGCUACCCUGAACACACCCUAUCCUGUCUGAUCUUGGAAGCUAAGCAGGGUCAGGCCUGGUUAGUACUUGGAUGGGAGACUACCUAGGAAGAUCAGGUGCUGUAGGCA
rnacentral:rRNA from 1 species